CCAAAUUAAAUAAUACUAAUACUAAUAAUAAUAAUAAUAAUAACAAUAACAAUAACAAUAACAAUAACAAUAAUCACAAUCCGGCCAGAUUCAAAGACAUCAGGAAUGAUGUUUAUUCAAAUUAUUAUUAUUAUUAUUAUUAUUAUUAUUUUGAAAAACUCUUACAAGAUCCGUUAGUAAUCAGUCCAGAACAUAUUCAAAAUUCGGUCAAAAAAUCCCACAACAUCUAAAUGAUCCAAGGAUAGAGUAACAGUUUUAUAGAUCUAGAUCUAUAUCAGACUAAACCCAUAGCAGACUAAAUCAAAAACAUCAGCAGACAAAAUAAGAUCUAGGCCUCCGUCGACUACUCCGUUACCAGAAGAAUCGUCGGCGAAACGACGUCCCGCCAUGGAUACAAUCAAGAAUAAAAUAGAGCAACAAAAUCAACAAUUUAGAUCCGAGAGCCUCGUCUGUCAGCCGACGCCAGAUCCAACCAUUUAGAUCCGAGAUAUAUCUUCAAAAAUAAUCAUCUUGAAUUUAAAACAAGUUCUGUAACCCCCGAUCUAUAACAUCUGUAACCAUCUUCAAAAAUAAUCAUCUGUCAGCCGAUGCCAGAUCCAACCAUCACCAGUAAAUACCAACAAGAUCCGUAACCCCCGAUCAAUAACAACAAGUACAUAAUCAUCUUAGAGAAGAGAGAGCUCCUUAACGAUGAUCGGGAUGGGAGGAUGGGAGAAGUACAGAAUUCGCCGGAGAGAGAAAAAACAGAGGGAGACAGCACCGAAUUGGAAUUUUUAGUUUUGUAUUUUUCAUCCGUCGGGGGAAACAAAAAUCAAUUUGUACUUAAAAUAAAACUACUACUAAUAAUUAAUAAAUUAAUAAUAAAUAAUAUAAUUUUAAAAUAUUGGCAGUACACUUAAACAAGAAAUGAAAUUACUAACCUGAGUUAUGUUUAAGGGAAGAUAUGCAAAAUCUAAUGAACUUGAAUCACUUUUUUAUCUUUAUUCAGUUUGUAUAAAAGGUAGUAAAUUG
rnacentral:lncRNA from 1 species